CCAAUAGCGUAUAUUAAAGUUGUUGCAGUUAAAAAGCUCGUAGUUGAAUUUCGGGAUUAGUACGCUGGUCGUGCCUUCGGUACGUACUGGUGUUACUGAUUUCUACCUUCUGACGAACCAUCAUGUCAUUAAUUUGGUGUGGUGGGGAAUCAGGACUGUUACUUUGAAAAAAUUAGAGUGUUUAAAGCAGGCUCGCGCUUGAAUACAUUAGCAUGGAAUAAUGAAAUAGGACGUUGAUCCUAUUUUGUUGGUUUCUAGGAUUGACGUAAUGAUUAAUAGGGAUAGUUGGGGGCAUUAGUAUUCAAUUGUCAGAGGUGAAAUUCUUGGACUUAUUGAAGACUAACUACUGCGAAAGCAUUUGCCAAGGAUGUUUUCAUUAAUCAAGAACGAAAGUUAGGGGAUCGAAGACGAUCAGAUACCGUCGUAGUCUUAACCAUAAACUAUGCCGACUAGGGAUCGGAUGAUGUUAUUUUUAAUGACUCAUUCGGCGCCUUACG
rnacentral:rRNA from 1 species